AUAUAUUUGCGAAGGUGUAGUAUCCUAGUCGAUGAACUCUACUUAGAGGGUGAUGAAACAAGCACCAAAGGGCAUAACGAUGAAGUUUCUGGUGUCAGUUUUGGUUGCCCAAAUUGGGACUGAUGCUGGGAGUUAAGAUUUUUGGACGCAUUGUAAUGGCAUACAAUAUCCGUUCCAAUUAUCGCGGAGACCCAAUCAGGUGGAAAAUUCCACUUCUUGGGAGAGAAACCUGCAAGGCGACGCAAAAGUUGUGUGCAGUGUAGCCUGCUUUGAGUGACAUCUUAGGGAUUCGGUGUUAAAGGUCUUGCUCAUGUUUUUGGCCAGGCAUAGCAAUGACAAGCUGAUGAAAUUUGUGUUGCAAAACUAAGCUAAGAGUAGAGCUAGUUGUUAAGGAAAGCUUCUAGGCUAUUGCAAAGGAGUUUGCAGUUAUAUUGGGGAUUAUAGUGUGAUCUUAGUGGCGAUUCGGUGCAAGAUUCUGCGUAAUAGGAAACUUCCUCGGCGGUGACGCCGGGGUUACGGAAUUUGGGAAAUCCAACCGAACCUAUGUCGCAAGGUUUACCUAAUAUAAUGCCUUCGUCUAUUU
rnacentral:sRNA from 1 species